GAUGAACGCUGGCGGCGUGCUUAACACAUGCAAGUCGAACGAAGCACUUAAGAUUGAUUCCUCGGAUGACGUCUUUUGUGCCUUAGUGGCGGACGGGUGAGUAACGCGUGGGUAACCUGCCUCACACAGGGGGAUAACAGUUAGAAAUGACUGCUAAUACCGCAUAACCCGAUAGGAUCGCAUGAUCCAGACGGAAAAGAUUUAUCGGUGUGAGAUGGACCCGCGUCUGAUUAGCUAGUUGGUGAGGUAACGGCCCACCAAGGCGACGAUCAGUAGCCGGGCUGAGAGGGUGAACGGCCACAUUGGGACUGAGACACGGCCCAAACUCCUACGGGAGGCAGCAGUGGGGAAUAUUGCACAAUGGGGGAAACCCUGAUGCAGCGACGCCGCGUGAGUGAAGAAGUAUUUCGGUAUGUAAAGCUCUAUCAGCAGGGAAGAAAAUGACGGUACCUGACGAAGAAGCCCCGGCUAACUACGUG
rnacentral:rRNA from 1 species